rnacentral:lncRNA from 1 species
AAAACACCCAUCCAUCUUAUAACAGGGCCAAAGAAACUUUUUCCCAUAGACGAGUGUGUAACCAGUUGGUGGGCAGCAGUUUUUAGGAAGCUGAAUCUCAAAGGUCCGUAGCAGGCCAGAUCUCGCAUGACCACCCCUGUGUUCUUCUCCCGUAACUGUACAUUCAGCUUCCCCUGCACUUUCCCAAGAGCAACAGAAAAAAAGCAAAUGCCAGGUGAGUUGUUUAUUCAUUUCUCAUGUUUCCAUUGCAUAAAAUGAUAAAAGAUUAACAUGAUAAAAAUUAUCAAGGAAUUUAUAGUUAACAGAUCUAAAAUAGGGAAAAGUCAACAUAUUAAUUAUAAAGAUAUCAAGA